rnacentral:rRNA from 1 species
UAAGACGAACCGUGCGAACGUUGUUCGGAAUCACUGGGCUUAAAGGGCGCGUAGGCGGGUCCGCAAGUCUGUGGUGAAAUCCCCCGGCUCAACCGGGGAAGUGCCGCGGAUACUGCGGACCUCGAGGGGGGUAGGGGCGCGUGGAACUUCCGGUGGAGCGGUGAAAUGCGUAGAUAUCGGAAGGAACGCCGGUGGCGAAAGCGACGCGCUGGGCCCCUUCUGACGCUGAGGCGCGAAAGCCAGGGGAGCAAACGGGAUUAGAUACCCCGGUAGUCCUGGCCCUAAACGAUGGGUACUAGGCUGCGGACUGACAUGGGUUCGCAGCCGGAGCAAAAGUGUUAAGUACCCCGCCUGGGGAGUAUGGUCGCAAGGCUG